rnacentral:piRNA from 1 species
UGGGAACUCUUGUUUGACUGUGCAGG